UGUGUGUGUGUCAGUGUGUG
rnacentral:miRNA from 1 species